UAGUUCACUAUCAGUACAGCCAUCUAUUUUAUUGUGAUUUCUUUCGAUUCUACGAGUACAAUUUAAAAUAAUAUGUACAAAAAGACACGAUAAUUUCUGGAAUGAUUAAUGAUACGAGGACUUGAUACCAUAUAUGAUUUUGUAAACUUGUGAUAAUAUCUAGCCUAUUUGAUAACUGGUGCGUUAUGUUCCUUAAAGUGAAUCGUGUCUGAAAAAAAUAUCAAUAUACCCGCCGUCCCGCCCAUUUCACCACGAAGAUGAGCCAGUCAACUUCCUCUGCAUCAGAUUUAAAACCAAAAGCCUCAAUUCCAGAUGAUCAAAGUGUUGUUGAUGCGAACUGGGAGAAAAUCUCGUAUUUGUGGACCAUAAAACAUUUCCAACAAUUCCAUUGUAAAAUCAAUGAAGAUAUGCUAACGUCAACAGUGUUUAGUGCUGCCAACCAUCCUGAAUUUAAGUGGUAUUUGAAAUUUCAUUUCAAGCAAUCAGGGUCUGAAUAUGCUAAUCAUUUCGGGGUAUUUCUAUGUCGCUGUGAGCCUACCACUAAGCCCUUUGAUAAUGUAUUUGUUGAAUUGAAAAUUUGUGCAUUGAAUGAUGAACACAAUGAAUCACUUGAUAAAAAAUUCUCUCUAAAAUUCACCUCCGAGAUUUUAAGUUGCAGAUUUACAAAAUUUAUAUCAAAGACAACAUUAUUAGAUCCAAGGAACGGAUUUCUACCUAACGAUACUUUGAGAAUUUUCUGUGAAAUGAAAUUCGCCCCAAUAAACAGUGCUGCCAGUGACGGAACAGAAUCGACAACUCCUAACAAUAGUCUUUCGAAAUAUGCAGGAGAUUAUCUUUUGGGCGGUGAUGAUUUCGUAGAUGUUACAUUUUCAGUGGAUGGUAAGAAUUACGGUGCUAAUAGAAGUAUUUUAGCCGCUCGAAGUCCCGUUUUUGCCGCCAUGUUCAAACAAGACAUGCGAGAAAACAAACACAGCAAUGUAAAUAUCUCUGACAUGAGUUGUGAAACAUUCGAAUGCUUUUACAUAUACCUGUAUACAGACAUCAGUGACAGCACCUUGGUAGAUGCAGAAAUGGCGCUUAAUUUACUCAUCGCAGCUGAUAAAUAUGACGUUGGUGGUUUGAAAGCAGUUUGUGAAGAAAUAUUAUGGACGAAUUUGGCGCAGGAUUUAUCGACAGAGAAUGUGAUCUCUGUUUUAACACUGGCUGAUAAAUUUCGGGCAAAACAAUUGAAAAAACAAGUUGUAUCUUAUAUCCAGAAGCACCCUUCAAUCAUGACAACUCAAAGAUGGAAAUGUGAAAUUUUGGCUCACCCUCACUUAUUUGAUGAUGUGAAUGGAGUACAGAAUGAAGUAUCUGAAGGUGUUCGGGUUAGAGUGCCAUAUACAGGUCGUGUUUGGAGUAUACGACUACCACAGUGGCUCGAGAGGGUUAAGAAAACCUUGAAAUCAACUUGACUAUUUAAUGUAGAUAUGUAUAUUGUAUUUGGAUAUCUUGCUUUAUGUUUAAUUUUUGUGCUACUGUCAAAUGUUUUGCACAAUUAUGCAGUGAAUUCUGUUUGUUUGGUUCAUUUUAAUAAAACAUUUGACUACUUCAGCUUU